ACGAACGCUGGCGGCUGCUUAACACAUGCAAGUCGAACGGAGUGGCGAACGGGUGAGUAACGCGUGAGCAACCUGCCUAUGACAGUGGGAUAGCCUCGGGAAACCGGGAUUAAUACCGCAUAGUCAUAGAUGGGCUCGCGUCUGAUUAGAUAUUUGGUGAGAUACCAGCCCACCAAGGCGACGAGCAGUAGCCGGUCUGGGAGGAUGAACGGCGACAUUGGAACUGAGACGCGGUCCAAACUCCUGCGGGAGGCAGCAGUGGGGAAUAGUGCACAAGGGGGGAAACCCUGAUGCGGCGACGCCGCUUGAACGAAGAAGUUAUUCGUAUCGUAAAGUUCUGUCCUAUGGGAAGCAGUACCAUAGAAGAAAGCUCCGGCUAAAUACGUGCCAGCAGCCGCGGUAAUAC
rnacentral:rRNA from 1 species